UUGGCCAGAGUCAGUCACGGAUCAGUGUUACGGCUGGGAUUUGAUUCUAGAGCUUGAAUUCUUAAUCACUAUAUUGCUUUAAGGACGAUGUCUAAAUACCCUCCAGCCUCUGGGAAAGGAGCCCUGGGGUGAGUCAGAGGACCGAAUCUGGAUGAGUUUCAAGCAAGUGGAUGGUGUGGCUUGGCAGAAAAUAAGGGAAGCCUUUUACUCUGUGAAGAUGCCAGGGUAGCAUCACCGUUGGAUCAGCAUAUUUGAAUAGUUCUGGAGCACUGGGGCAUAGACACAUCCCACCAAUGCCUUUUGUGCUGCUCUUGGGGGUUGUUCUCUGGAAAAUUUACUGAAACGGCCAGGAAGCUGCCACUUUCAAGAAUUUCAAAUCUGAAAAGAGAAAAGGAUGAGGCCGUUAGACGGUGUGAGUCAGAAGGCUGAGCGCUGCCCGUGGCUGUGCUGGUUUGGAACAAUAGUCACUUUCCGCCCAAAUGAUGCUUUUGAUGAAUGUGGUCCCUGGAUAUUCAGCUGGGAUGGUGAUCUACAGAGACAGCAAAUAAAGUGGCUGUUCCUUUGAGGAACAAGAAGAAAGUCUCUUCUCUUCAACACGACAGCCUCUGAUUCAGUGUGAGAAGGAUGGAAGGGGCUGAGGAUGUUUAGUGUACUAAAGAGAAACUGUCUGGUAGACAUGUGAUCUGCUUAUAUUUGAAAUGCUGUUAUUUAGAGGGGGUUUGUUCUUUCUUUAUCUAAAGAGUAUGAGUUAAAGAGGACUGGAUUAGGAGCUUUUCAUAGACUGACUUGCAGACGUGGAAAGCUCUUCAUCCAGGGAAUAGACUGCCUCAGCUUCCUGACUUUGAAGAUGUUUAAACAGACGCUAAAUGACUACACGCCUCAGUGCCGCAGGAUGCCUCCUGUGUGUGGAAUCAGGUUAGACUAAUGACUUCUGGGGUCCCUCCCCAUGCUGAGAUCUAAUGGUCUUUCAGUGCCUUCUCUCCUCUCCUACUUGUAUCUACUGCUCAAGGUCUGGAGGAGCAUUUGGAGAAAAGGAUGAAAUGCUUCAGACUUCCACAGUUGCCAGGCUUCUUAGCUUUGUUAAAGGCAGAACAACUUGGAGAAGUCUUGGCUAUGUGAUGCUAGAAGAAGCUUUUAAGGAACUGGUGAUCCAAGGGCUGUUGUCUUCAUAUUAAAAUGAUGCUUUAAGAUCACAGAAUUUUGAGAAGAUUCAUGUCAGCCUGCACCAUAGGCUGGCUGGUUCCACCUGAGUCCAUUUUUAUAUAAACUUUUAAUAGUUGAAGUAUAUAUAUGGGAUGUGUUUACAAGUCCUAAGUGUACAGCUUGAUAAAGUAUCACAAAGUGAACAAAGUUUUAAUUAUAGAAAUUACUUAUAUUUAUAGGUACACUUAUAAUUACUUAUAAUUACCAUGUAGAUCAAGAAAUAUAUUACCCAGGAAUAGAACUGCACCCCAAAAGCUCCCACCGUUCCCACCUGUGUUCUUUCCUGGUCUCUAGCCCAUCAUCUUGUCCCCAGAGGUAACCCAUAUCCUGAUUGCUAACAUUAUAGGUAGCUUUUGCCUGUUUUGAGUUUUAUAUAUUCACACCACCAGCAUAUAAGCAUCCUAAUUGCUACACAUUCUUUAUAUUUUUUAUGGCACUUGGUAUUAUUAUGUCUUUUUACCUUAGCCACUUUGGUGUACUGAUGUCCUACCACUUUUAAAAUUUGCUUUUCCCCAGUAACUCAAAAUUGAACACUUUUGCUAAUAUUUGUUGGCAAUUCACAUAUCCUCAUUUAAAAAGUACCUGUUCAUAUCUUUUGCUCAGUUUUCAACUGGUUUGUCUGCAUUUUUUUCUUUGACGUGUAGAUAUUCUUUCUGUUUCUGCCUAUGGUACGAGAUAGGGGUCAGAUCUUCUGCCAACACACCCCAUAAAAAUAUCUAAGCAUCUCAGCAACAUUACUGAAAGUAAAAAAUGUUCCCUGCUACUCUGCAGUGCCACCCUUGACAAGUCAGUUCUCCACAAAACUGUGGGCCUGUUUCUGGACUUUCUCUUCUGCUUCAAUGAUCUAUUUAUUUAUUCUGUCUUAAUUACUACAGCUUCAUAACUCUUGCUAUAACUCCAGUUUUGAUCUUCUUCAAGAUUGUCUUGGUUAUUCUUCGCCUUUUGCAUUUCCACAUAAAAUUUUGAAUCCAGUUGUCAAUUUCUAUAAUUAAAAAAAAUCCUGCUGGGAUUUGGAAACAACUGACAUCUUUACACCCUUAACUCUUCCAAUCUAUGUUGGAUAGGUUUCUAUAUAGAGGUCUUACACAUCUUCCAGUGGAUUAAUUCCUAGGUUUUUAAGUUUUUUAAAAUGCAGAUAUCAUUUGAAAUAUUAUUUUCUAUUUGCUGGUACAUAGAAUUAAUAUUGCAAUUAAUUUUUAUAUUAAUCUUUUAUCUAGGUAACUUGGUAAGUACACUUAUUAAUUAUAGUAGAUUUUCUGUAGGUUCUUUUGCAUUUUCUGUCUACACAUAAUAAUAUCUGCAAAUAGUGACAGCAAUUUUUUUUCUUUUUUUAGUCCUUUUACCAUUCAUUUCUUUUUUCUGUUUUUAUUGAAGUAUAAUUAACAUACAGUGUUAUAUUAGUAUUAAUUGUACAUAUAAUGAUUCAACAUUUCUAUAUGUUUCUCAGUGCUCAUCAUGGUAAAUGUACUCUUAAUCCUCUAUUUCACUCAUCUCCCCACCAACCUUCCCUCUGGCAGCCAGCAAUUUGUUCUCUAUUUACGAGUUUGUUUUUUAAAAAAAAAAGAAGAAGAAGAUAGCAGGAGGGGAAGGAUGAAGGGGGGGAAAUCGGAGGAGGAGACGAACCA